rnacentral:rRNA from 1 species
GACGAACGCUGGCGGCGUGCUUAACACAUGCAAGUCGAGCGGAGCGGCGAACGGGUGAGUAACGCGUGAGUAACUGCCCCCCUCUCUGGGAUAAAAGUUGGAAACGGCUGCUAAUACCGGAUAUGGGGGGAUGACUCGCGUCAUAUCAGCUUGUUGGUGGGGUAGUGGCCUACCACGGCGACGACGGGUAGCCGGCCUGAGAGGGCGACCGGCCACAUUGAGCGGAGAGACGGCCCAAACUACAACGAGAGGCAGCAGGGGGGAAUAUUGCACAAUGUGGGAAACCCUAAUGCAGCAACGCCGCGUGCGGGAUGACGGCCUUCGGGUUGUAAACCGCUUUCAGCCAUUACGCGGUAGUGGCAGAAGAAGCACCGGCUAACUACGUGCCAGCCGCCGCGGUAAUUC